CUGGGGCCUGUCCUGGAGUGUGCCUGCUACACCAGUGACACUCCAUUGGAGAAGACUGAUUUUCCCGUUAUCGGCAGGUAUCGAUUGCAAAUAGCUUCUUGGUGAAGGGUGGGACCCUGUGUCUACCUCCCCCUCUCAGUCCUGGGCCCCCAUCUGGUUUGGACCUGGGCAGGACUUGUGCCUGCUAUUGGGGGCAAGUUGGUUUUUGUUUUGUUUUUGCUUUUGACAGUUUCACUGAUGUAUAAAGUCCAGUAGUUCAAUAGGUUUUAUCAAAUGCUCAUUGUGAUUUAGAACAUCUCUAUUUAUUGGGGUAUAUUUUAAUUAUAGGUGUGAAUUUCUUCAAAGUAAGAAAUCCUCAGAGGAAAUUGCCCAGUAUAUUAAAAGCUACGAGGGAUUUGUCCAUGUAACGGGAGAACAUUUUGUGAAUUCCUGGGUCAGAAGAGAAUUACCUAUGGUGUCAGCUUACUGCAAUGACAGCGUCUUUGCUAAUGAAGAACUAAGGCUGGACACCUUUAAGGACUGGCCCCUUGAGUCCCCUGUGGCUGUUGAAGCUCUGGUCAGAGCAGGCCUUUUCUACACAGGUCUCAUGGGCGAUGUUCUCCUACUGCAAUGCUGUGGGAAGAGACAAGUCAUUCUCCAUGAUCUCACUCACAGAGAACCCCUAAAUUAGCUCCUGUGUUCCUCCACCUCCGACCUUCACAUAUAUUCUUUCUCGUUUAUUCCUUAAGCAAAUGCCUAUUGAUCGCCUAUGUCUGUGAGAGUCCACUCUGUCAGCAUUGUCCAAAUCAGACAGAAAUCUCUGCUCCCAGAGUUUCUAUGCUGUGGGAUGGUCUGUAUGCCAAAUCUGUUGCUCUGAUUGGUCAAUAAAUAAAACACUGAUUGGCCAGUGGCCAGGCAGAAAGUGUAGGCGGGACU